GAAUAAACCUCCUGUAAUGUCACCUAACUGCAGAUAGAUCCCCUUUAGCUCUAUUGGUGUUGAUAGACUCCCUGUGCUAUUGGCCAAAGUACGGUAGACAUGAGCUGAGAAAAGAAACAGGAAAUGCAGGAUAAAGAAUUGCAUGUGGCAUCAUAGGGCUCCAGGGUUGAAGGGUGUUGAUUCUGGAUUUUACCACAGCAUCCUGUGUAUUAAUCUGCGUAGCGUAUGUUUCUGCGUAGCGUAUGCUUGGGCAUUGGCACAAGUAGCACAAGUCGUUGGUCGGCAAGAAUAUCCAAGGAUCUGACAUGUCUA